rnacentral:rRNA from 1 species
GACGGGUAUCCGGCCUGAGAGGGUGAACGGACACACUGGAACUGAGACACGGUCCAGACUCCUACGGGAGGCAGCAGUAGGGAAUAUUGCUCAAUGGGGGAAACCCUGAAGCAGCAACGCCGCGUGGAGGAUGAAGGUUUUCGGAUUGUAAACUCCUUUUGUUAGAGAAGAUAAUGACGGUAUCUAACGAAUAAGCACCGGCUAACUCCGUGCCAGCAGCCGCGGUAAUACGGAGGGUGCAAGCGUUACUCGGAAACACUGGGCGUAAAGAGCGCGUAGGCGGAAUAGCAAGUCAGAUGUGAAAUCCUAUGGCUUAACCAUAGAACUGCAUUUGAAACUGUUAUUCUA